CACGUAGGGUGCGAGCGUUGUCCGGAUUUAUUGGGCGUAAAGAGCGUGUAGGCGGCCAGGUAGGUCAGCUGUGAAAACUCGAGGCUUAACCUCGAGACGCCGGCUGAAACCCUCUGGCUAGAGUCCGGAAGAGGAGAGCGGAAUUCCUGGUGUAGCGGUGAAAUGCGCAGAUAUCAGGAAGAACACCCGUGGCGAAGGCGGCUCUCUGGGACGGUACUGACGCUGAGACGCGAAAGCGUGGGGAGCGAACAGG
rnacentral:rRNA from 1 species